rnacentral:rRNA from 1 species
UGAGGAAUUUUGCGCAAUGGGCGAAAGCCUGAACCUGCGACGCCGCGUGAGUGAUGAAGGUCGUAAGAUCGUAAAACUAUUUUCAGGGAUCUUAAAGCCUGUCUGUCAACAACAGGCAGGUCUGACUCUCCCUGGAAGAAGCCCCAGCCAACUACGUGCCAGCAGCUGCGGUAAUACGUAGGGGGCGAGCGUUAUUCGGAAUUACUGGGUGUAAAGGGUAUGUAGGCGGCCCUUCAAGUCGCGUGUCAAAGUCCAGUGCUCAACGCUGGGUGUGCACGCGAUACGUACGGGCUUGAGGGCUGGAGAGGUGAGCGGAAUUCCCGGUGUAGUGGUAAAAUACGUAGAGAUCGGGAGGAACACCUGCGGCGCAGUCGGCUCACUAGACAGUUUCUGACGCUAAGAUACGAAAGCGUGGGGAGCAAACA